GAGUUUGAUCCUGGCUCAGGAUGAACGCUGGCGGCGUGCCUAAUACAUGCAAGUCGAACGCUAACCUUCGGGUUAGAGUGGCGAACGGGUGAGUAACACGUAGGUAACCUGCCCAUAAGACGAGGAUAACUACUGGAAACGGUAGCUAAUACUGGAUAGUAUAUAGAAUCGCAUGAUUUUAUAUUUAAAGAUGCGUUUGCAUCACUUAUGGAUGGACCUGCGGCGCAUUAGCUAGUUGGUGAGAUAACGGCCCACCAAGGCGACGAUGCGUAGCCGGACUGAGAGGUCGAACGGCCACAUUGGGACUGAGACACGGCCCAGACUCCUACGGGAGGCAGCAGUAGGGAAUUUUCGGCAAUGGACGCAAGUCUGACCGAGCAACGCCGCGUGAGUGAUGAAGUUCUUCGGAACGUAAAAUUCUUUUAUUUGGAAAAAACGUAUAGUGUAGGAAAUGACAUUAUAGUGAUGGUACCAAAUGAAUAAGCCCCGGCUAACUAUGUGCCAGCAGCCGCGGUAAUACAUAGGGGGCGAGCGUUAUCCGGAUUUAUUGGGCGUAAAGGGUGCGUAGGCGGUAGAUUAAGUCUAAGGUUAAAGUGCAGGGCUCAACCCUGUGAUGCCUUAGAAACUGGUUUACUUGAGUUUGGUAGAGGUAAGUGGAACUCCAUGUGUAGCGGUAAAAUGCGUAAAUAUAUGGAAGAACACCAGUGGCGAAGGCGGCUUACUGGGCCACAACUGACGCUGAGGCACGAAAGCGUGGGGAGCAAACAGGAUUAGAUACCCUGGUAGUCCACGCUGUAAACGAUGAAUACUAAGUGUUGGAAAAAUCCAGUGCUGAAGUUAACGCAUUAAGUAUUCCGCCUGAGUAGUACGUACGCAAGUAUGAAACUCAAAGGAAUUGACGGGACCCCGCACAAGCGGUGGAGCAUGUUGUUUAAUUCGAAGAUACGCGAAGAACCUUACCAGGUCUUGACAUCCGUUGCAAAGCUAUAGAGAUAUAGUGGAGGUUAACAGCGAGACAGGUGGUGCAUGGUUGUCGUCAGCUCGUGUCGUGAGAUGUUGGGUUAAGUCCCGCAACGAGCGCAACCCUUGUUGCUAGUUACCAUCAUUUAGUUGGGGACUCUAGCGAGACUGCCGGUGAUAAACCGGAGGAAGGUGGGGAUGACGUCAAAUCAUCAUGCCCCUUAUGACCUGGGCUACAAACGUGCUACAAUGGCCACUACAAUGAGAGCCGAUACCGCGAGGUGGAGGAAAACUGAUAAAAGUGGUCUCAGUUCGGAUUGAACUCUGCAACUCGAGUUCAUGAAGUUGGAAUCGCUAGUAAUCGUGAAUCAGAAUGUCACGGUGAAUACGUUCUCGGGGUUUGUACACACCGCCCGUCAAGCCAUGGGAGUUUGCAAUACCCAAAGCCGGUGGCCUAACCGCAAGGAGGGAGCCGUCUAAGGUAGGGCAAAUGACUGGGGUUAAGUCGUAACAAGGUA
rnacentral:rRNA from 1 species